CUCAGGGGAAAUAUCAAGAUUAGUUAAAGAAAUUAAUACAAGUGUGUGUUUGUGUGUGGGGGCGGAGUUCAACAAAGGCGGUGCUUACUCAGGGCGGCAUGCACACUGGAGGCGCCACUGGCUGUGAAGAGAACAACAGUCAGACUGAAUGUUGAACAUCAGCUGCUUUCUCCUGCUGAUUUAAACCUUGUUGGACAGAUGGAACAUUGGCUGUGGAUUAUUCUGGCUGCUCUUUUCUCUGAGUGUAAAGGAGAUUCAGUGAAGCAGACAGAAGGAGAACUUGUUGCUGCUGCAGGACAAUCACUGACUCUGAGAUGUACCUUUAAACCCAGUGGUGGAAAUGAUGCCUUGUUCUGGUAUAAACAAGAUAAAAACAGUUUCCCAAAGUUCAUGCUCAAGCAAUACUUCACAUCGAGAGAAAAGGCUUCAGAGUUCAACAACUACAGAUUCAAUGCAGAGAUCAAUGACAAAUCCUUCAACCUGACGAUCCAGGAUCUCCGUCCGUCAGAUUCUGCUGUGUACUACUGCGCUCUGCAGCCCACAGUGACAGGAAACACCAGAACCCUGUACAAAAACCUGCAGUACUCCACAGCAGCCACUAGAGGGCCUCAUAAUUCAGACUGCAUUAACAUGAGCGGGCUGCACAGUGGCGCAGUUGUGCAGCAGAGAAUCUUGAAGUUGCAGGCAUCGAACCUCCGGGACUGGAGUUUGACCCAGUGA